GACGAACGCUGGCGGCGUGCUUAACACAUGCAAGUCGAACGGAAAGGCCCUGCUUUUGUGGGGUGCUCGAGUGGCGAACGGGUGAGUAACACGUGAGUAACCUGCCCUUGACUUUGGGAUAACUUCAGGAAACUGGGGCUAAUACCGGAUAGGAGCUCCUGCUGCAUGGUGGGGGUUGGAAAGUUUCGGCGGUUGGGGAUGGACUCGCGGCUUAUCAGCUUGUUGGUGGGGUAGUGGCUUACCAAGGCUUUGACGGGUAGCCGGCCUGAGAGGGUGACCGGCCACAUUGGGACUGAGAUACGGCCCAGACUCCUACGGGAGGCUACAGUGGGGAAUAUUGCACAAUGGGCGGAAGCCUGAUGCAGCAACGCCGCGUGCGGGAUGACGGCCUUCGGGUUGUAAACCGCUUUCGCCUGUGACGAAGCGUGAGUGACGGUAAUGGGUAAAGAAGCACCGGCUAACUACGU
rnacentral:rRNA from 1 species